ensembl:lncRNA
UGGGGUAUAGAUUAAAUAAGGUAAUAGCACAAUAUCAGCACGUGGCAAGCCCCCAAUAAACCUCAUUUCACAGAUGAGGAAACUGAAGCUUAUAGAAGGAAAGGACUCCUCAGUCAAGAAGACGAAGAGCUAAAACUAGACUGAAGCAUCAAAUGUUUGGUGGGACUCGUGGGAGCUAAAGCUAGAGACGGGUUGCAAAUAGUUUGAUCAUUAGAGGCCUACAACUACCUUGGAGCUCAAAAAAGCAACAGCAAAGCUGAGACUAUAGGUGUGGCUGGGAGUUCUCCAGGAAGCUGGCCCUUGGCUGGCAGGUAUUUGGGGCCAUUUCUGACCUCAGUGGUAUCUCAUCAACACAGAAAUCCAGCAAAAGCAUUUGAGCUUUUAAGAGCCAGAAAUUAUCUCCUUCCUGUAUCCAUUAGACUGCAUUUAAGUAACAUGCUGCAAUUAAGCCAAGGGUUACAAAUACAAGGGGCCCACGUGGCUAAGAUUGAAAGGGAAGAGAUAAAGUUGGGAGGUUAAGGGAAGGGGAAGGUCAUGUAGGCCCUGAUGGACUUUGGCUUUUACUGUGUGAGGUGGGGAGACACUGGAGGCUUCUGAGCAAAGAGCUCCAUACCUAAUUCAGGUUUUCACAGAUCGCUCUGGUUCCAUCUGAAUUGACUGUAGGGAGCAAAGGUUGAAGUAGAGACCGGUAUUCCAAGCUUGUUUGAUGGUCUGUACCAAGGUGGUAGCAAUGAAGAUGCUAAGAGGGGGUGGGUUUCAGACGUAUUUUGAAGGUAGAACCAAUAGGAUUUGCUGAGGGGAUUCACAGGGUACAUGAGGUUGAUUCCAUAGCUCCUGACCAGCUGGACUGCUGGUGUUGCCAAUACCUGGGAAGGGAAGAUUAUAGGAAGCACAGACUUGUAGGGAAUGGGGUUAGGGGAGUGAAGCAUCAGGCAUCUAGUUUUGGACAUGUUAAGUCAAAUGCAUGUUAAGUAUGAAAAUGCAGAUUGGGGCCAGACAUAAACGCUUCAAAUGCUGUGCAGAGAAACUGAAGUAGACUUAGGUAAUGGAGAUGACUUAGGUAAUGACUAAGGUAAUGGAGAUGCCCAUGUCAGGACCUUUAGAGUGGGCAUUACAGAGUUGUGAAUUUACUGCUUUGUAGCAAGUUAUCUCAAAACCUAGUGGCUUGAAGUACAUUUCCCAUAGGUCAGAAAUCCACGCACAAUCUGGGUGGGUCCUGUUUCAAGGUUUCUCACAAGCAUCUCUGAGAAGUCUGCUGGGGUGGCAGACAUCAAGCCUCCGCUAUAGAAAGUAAUCCAACAACCAUGUGUACUUACAAACUUACAUGGUUGUUGGAUUACUCCUCCCACACUAAUGGUUCACCCUCAGUUGAUUGCUACAUUGGCCUCUCCCAACAUGGCAGCUUAUUUAAAAGUGAGCAAGCUAGGCCAGGCGUGGUGGCUCAUGCCUGUAAUCCCAACACUUUGGGAGGCAGAGGUCUGCAGAUCACUUGGGGUCAGGAGUUCAAGACCAGCCUGGCCAAAAUGGUGAACCCCCUCUACUAACUAUGUAAAAAUUAGCCAGGCGGUAAUCCAAGCUACUUGGGAGGGUGAGGCAGGAGAAUUUGCUUAAACCCAGGGGGCAGAGGUUGCAGUGAGCUGAGAUCUCAAAAAAAAAAAAAAAAAAAAAAAAA